rnacentral:rRNA from 1 species
CCUACGGGAGGCAGCAGUGGGGAAUAUUGGACAAUGGGCGAAAGCCUGAUCCAGCCAUGCCGCGUGUGUGAAGAAGGCCUUCGGGUUGUAAAGCACUUUCAGUGGGGAAGAAAGCCUUGGGGCUAAUACCCUCGAGGAAGGACAUCACCCACAGAAGAAGCACCGGCUAACUCCGUGCCAGCAGCCGCGGUAAUACGGAGGGUGCGAGCGUUAAUCGGAAUUACUGGGCGUAAAGCGCGCGUAGGCGGUCUGAUAAGCCGGUUGUGAAAGCCCCGGGCUCAACCUGGGAACGGCAUCCGGAACUGUCAGGCUAGAGUGCAGGAGAGGAAGGUAGAAUUCCCGGUGUAGCGGUGAAAUGCGUAGAGAUCGGGAGGAAUACCAGUGGCGAAGGCGGACUUCUGGACUGACACUGACGCUGAGGUGCGAAAGCGUGGGUAGCAAACAGGAUUAGAUACCCGAGUAGUC